AUCUAAAUAGCUUAAGUGAGAGUAUAACAUUGAAGAUGUUAGGGUAAUUGUUGUAAUUUUUGGAUA
rnacentral:tRNA from 1 species